rnacentral:rRNA from 1 species
CUGCUAUCGAGAUUCGACUAAGCCAUGCGAGUUGAAUGUUCUUCGUGAACAUGGCGGACUGCUCAGUAACACGUGGACAACCUACCCUUUGGUCCGGCAUAAUCCUGGGAAACUGGGGAUAAUUCCGGAUAGGUCACAGAUGCUGGAAUGCACUGUGGCUGAAAGCUCCGGCGCCGAAGGAUGGGUCUGCGGCCUAUCAGGGUUGUAGUGGGUGUAAUGUACCUACUAGCCUACGACGGGUACGGGUUGUGAGAGCAAGAGCCCGGAGAUGGAUUCUGAGACACGAAUCCAGGCCCUACGGGGUGCAGCAGGCGCGAAAACUUUACAAUGCGGGAAACCGUGAUAAGGGAAUCUCGAGUGCCAGCAUAUAAUGGUUGGCUGUCCAAAUGCCUAAAAAGCAUCUGUUAGCAANGGCCGGCCAAAACNGGUGCCAGCCGCCCCGGUNAACNCCGGCGGCCCGAGGGGGGAACCGCUUUUUUUNGGGNCUAAAAGGGUUUGUANCCCGCCCAGUAA